rnacentral:misc_RNA from 1 species
CUGCCGGUGUGUGAUGUGUUCUCUUCGUAUUUUUUUUUAUCAUAAAUUUAUUCGUAGUUAUUUGAAUGAUUUGAAAUUAUUUAAUUAAUAUUCAAGUGUUGUAAAGUUAAGUAGCGUUAAAAUGAACAACGCUUCAGUGUCGAAGGGUGUUUUUGCAUAUAAAGGUAGUUACAAAAUUGGCAAGAAAUCUCAAAAAUUUAAAUCGGUAGAUUAUUUCAAUGAACCAUGGUAUCUUGCUUACGAUGAAACAUGGAGUAGCAUUCAAAAGGCAGCUGAGGACAUUAGGCUUAAUAUGUUUCAAGAAAUUUUAACAAAUUUAGAAUUGUUCGUUUCUAAAAUUAAAGAAACACCAGUUGAACAAUUAGAAGAUGGAAUACAAACAGCUGUCAUAUUAACAGGAGUUAAUGUUCCUGAUCAUGAAGCAAUGUUUCAAAAAACAGUUUCUAAAUUAGAAUCGAUAACAAAACACACAGCAGUUAUUUGGAAUAGAGAUACAGAAAAUAUUAAAAAUAUAUUAGAGGAAUCAAUUUAUCAGCUAAUAAACGAGGAAGAGAAUGAAGCUGGAUCGAUUAAAAAGAAUCAGUGUACUAUGCGAGUCUUAAACUCUUGGCAUCAGAAAAAUUGCAAUCCAAAUGAUCCACUUCUUAUAAUUAUAACUGAUUUUGAAAGUGCAUCUCCAGCAGUAUUACAUGACUUUAUUUUAAUACUCAGUGAAUAUUCAAGUACAAUGAAAUUUAUUCUUAUAUUUGGUGUUGCGACCACCAUACAUGCCAUUUAUAGAUGUUUAACAUAUGAUGCCACAUCAAAAUUAUAUGUUCAUAUAUUCAACAUGCCAACACAAUUGAAUACUUUGUCGGAUGUAUUAGAAAAUAUAAUUUUCUGUACGGAAAUACCGUUUAAAUUGACUGGCCGUGCAUUUCAGUUAUUAACAGAUAUGUUUUUAUUUUAUGAUUUAUCCGUAGAGAACUUCAUACAAAAUUACAAGACAUGUAUGAUACAACAUUUUUAUGCAAACAAUGUAAAUUCACUUUGCUGUAAACCACAGCAAAUAAGUAGUAGAAUAUCCACUUUAACAGAUGAAGAUUUAGAGGAGAUUAAAAAAUUACCCUCAAUAGAAAAAUAUAUCCAACAGUUAAAAGAGAAUGAAAGGAAUGAAGAAGUACUAGAAAACGAAAAGUUCAAGGGAACAGUAGCAAAAUUGUUAAACAAAUUUCACAAGUAUAUGGAUCAAUUUUUAACAGUGCUUAGAUGUCUACAUGAUUUGUUGGGAACACUGCCAAAUGCACCUAUGGGCAAACAGUUACGUGAGUUCUAUGUAAAAGCAGUUUACGUGAAGGAUCUGAGAGAAUGUAGCGAAUACAAAAAUUGUUUGGAACUUCUGGGUUUUCUAUCGAAGAAAGAGUUGCUCUCCAAAUUAAAUUCCCUUUUGACAAUUAUCGAUAAGUCAAACGAUUCGGCUAUGAAGAAGCUUAAAGCCGAUCUCCAAGAACACGUAACAAUUAUUGAAGGAGCAAGUUUAGAUGUUAAUGCAGCACCUGCAGAUAUCGUUUCCGGCAAUGAGAAGCUGACUCGAGUCCAACUACAAACGAAAUUGUACAAAAUGUCUCAAAUGAAGUUGCGAUCACCUUUUAAACAAGCGCAAAUAGAUGUAAUCAGUUUCUUGGAUCAGCACGUAUUCGGUGUUUACUUAAUUAAUCCUAAUCUGGUACCAGCUAACGAGAUAUUUUGCUUUAACGAUGGCAAUUUGGCGAAACAACACAUUCGUGGGUCUUUAAGAGCUGCAAUACACACUGCUUUGAACGAUCCGCAGGUGUACUUGAACUUGCUGCAAAUUGGAGAACGACGACGCCAUUCUGCCUACGAUGCCCGACCUCAGUAUAAUUUACAAGCUGCACUUGGAAUCCGGCAAGCUGAUGAAUAUGUACGACUGGCUGCAGGUUCGAAAGAGACGGUUUGGGUGGAAGCAGUCUUCAUUUCUUGGAAGUUUUGAAACAACAUACAAAUGUAUACUGUUUCUAUACGAAUGGUAUAACUUUACUGGAAGUUAAAUGCAUACGUGACCAUAGUGGAUCCCAACGAGGAGUCGAAGAAGCACCAGGAGAAGGAAGCAAAAUUACG